UCCUUCUCAGAAAGAUUCCCCCUUCUAGCUGACCAUGGCACCUCAGCCUUGACCAAAGCUGGAGCAGGACCCCCCAAUUGAUUGGAAGAGAUUUGUGCUCUUGCAAAUUGGGAGUUGAGUUGGUCCUGACGCUUAAAUUGACUUGCAUCUGGCUGCCUGGAGUCAUAUUGCCCAGCAAAGUCUUUGUUUUCUCGAAGGGAAUCCCAGGACCUCUCCUCUGCAGAUGUAGAAAAUUGUGCAGAACGACCACGCCA
rnacentral:misc_RNA from 1 species